GCCUGUGGCGCCGGGGCCAGGGCGACCGUCUUCCCUGAACCUGGGCUGCCAGGCCUCGCGGCAUGAGCGCCCCCGAUGAGGUGUCCAUCUGUGGAGCGGGUUUCGGGGAGGAGGGCGGGGAGCAGACCGGCGUCCGCCCUGCCAGCCCCGGAGCCCCGCGGGGCCCACAGGGACUAGGUGUGGAUCUGGGGUCGCCACCCAGCGGUGAGGACGAGGGCGGGGUCCCAGACCCCAAGGGCUUCGAGUCCGAGCGGGAAGUGACGGAAACGGGAGGGCCCGUGUCCUGGGACCUAGAAGGCCGCCCCGGCUCCCCGACCGACCACAUGGGGGACGCCCUGGACUGCGCGUCCCACCUUGCGGACGAGGCCGUGGCAGCCAUCGUGCAGCAGCUGACCAACCAGGAUGGCCUGGGCGUGCGGAGAAACCCGUACCUGGAGGGCUGCGUCGUGGAGGCGGGCCUGGAGGCAGGGCCCCAAGGGAGAGGCGCGCUUGCCCUUAGCCGCAGACAGUCGCAGCCUUCUGCCGCCGCCCUUCUCCGCCUCGGUGGGCCCGAGGGAGGCCCGGCCUGGGCGAACCCGAAAAGAAGCACGAAGAGCAGGUCGAACGUCGCCGUGGUGGAUCGCCAGCGGCCCUCCGCCGAAAGCGAGCUGCUUUCCGACAGCGAGUCAGCAGAUGAGUUUAGUGAGAUACAGCUGAUGAGGGUGAGCAUUUACGCCAAAGGAGGAGGCCAACUCAAGCCCAACAGCCCCAUGGAUCCCUGGGACACACCCAGACACUCGAAAUUCCAUGUCAGGGAGAAUUUCCUCCACAUGCUUGGCUCUUUCCCGUCCUCCGCUCCCCGAGGAGUCACUUCGGUUGUGGAGAGUCAGGCCGUUGGAGAGCUGGACAUCUCCUCCUCUAGGAAAAUGCAGAGCGUGGUCAGGGGGAAGGGGGGGAACAGGCCCAGCUACCCAAGAUCUGCUGCUGCUGGCGGCCUGCCCCGGGCCACCCCUAAGAAAAAGGUGGCCCAGGAGAAGAAAUCCCCAGGGGGGACCUCAAAUGUUGCCCUGGGGAGAAUGUUCCCUUCCUGGGGGCAGAGAGUCUCCGCGGCACCCCUGGAACCAGCCGCCUUCCCCCCAGUAACUGGUGUUCCGCUGCUUGGGAGGUCCAAGAGGUAUUCCUUGGUCCCUCCGGGAACCAAACAGUCCAAGCACACCCCUGCCGGGAAGAAAUCUGUCGCCAGGAGGACUCAGAAGGCGGAGCCGGUGGUGGCCGGAGAAGACAAUGACUCAAACAGAGACGCUGUCCCAAAGCUUUCAGCACACAGGCCAGAGCCGUCUUGUCCGUUCAUGCAUCGUGAGGCAAGCAGUCGUGGUGACCUCAACCCCAGAGCCCCCCAGUUUCAGGGAAGCUCACAGCCCUUGGCUCCGAAUCAGGGAGACGUCAUGCCCAGAGAGCCCGCACCCUCCGGUGAGUGUUGCAGGUUGCACAGGAGUGCAGGGGAGACGGGAUCAGGAGGGCCGCCUCUGCCUCUGCCUCUGCCUGUGGCUCUGCGGAGGGUGGAGGCUCAGCUUUGUUCCCUGCCUCCUCUCUGACCCAGGCAGCUUCUCCCAUGGGAAACAGGGUGUCGACAGGACCGGCCUUAAGCCACAUCAUCCUCUGCGUGGGGUUUGUGUGGCAGGGGUGGUUCGUGGACACCCCCAAACCCCAACCCCGGACAUAGACUUUCAGCAGAACAGAGCCUUGUUCCACGAAGUCGUAUUUGGCUGUGCUGCUCUUCCCAGUGGCUGGCUGUGGCUGCAGCUCUGGGAGAGUCCAGCUCAGAGCCACCGGCCUUGGGGACCACCAUCAAGGAUGGGCUGGCCCUGGGAGACAGGAGAGGCACACCCAGGGGAGAAGAGUGGAGCUGCUGGCAGAGCAGGGGCAACUUGUUGCCAGCAGAGGGUGGUGUUGCCUCACGUUAGACCCCACGAAGCCCUUUCCACCUCACUGGGAGCCUUGGAAGCUGGAUUUUGUGUUCUUUCCCUCUCAGAUGACCAGGAAGCGCUUGUCCACCCCCCAAGACCGGAAAGGCAGCAGCAACCACCUGGAGCACAGGGCUGUCCUCAGGUAAUGCUUGCUCUGGCUCCUAGAAACGCAGGCCCCAACUACCUGGUGGGAUCCGUGUCCAGGUUAAACUGACAUAUGUACCCCCCUCCCAUUCUGCUCCCCACAGAGGGAAGGCGCCUCCUUUCCACUGAGGGUCCUGUGCCAGUCUAGCCACUGGGCCUUGGUGUGUGGUGCUCGCAGGAGAGGGGGAGGAUGAGGAGAGAGGCCAGGGUAUACUAAUAUGCUUUUCUCUCUCUCCCAUGUUUGUGGGCCUAGUGUCUCCUGCUGCAGAGAGAAGUUGACAACCUGAAAGAGCAGCUUGCGGCCCUGCAGUCCCUGACUGACCAGUUCCAGACCCUUUGAAGCUGAGUCAGCAUCUCUGUACAAGAGGGGCGGCUGGUACCUUUGGAGCCAGGAAGCUGUGCCCAAGCUGCUUCCCUCCCGUUCGACGUUCGACCUCGGCCUGGGCUUCCUCUCCCUGUUUUUUGCCGCCUCCCCACCCAAGUUCACAGCACCUUCAAAUUAAAGUACCUCU